rnacentral:rRNA from 1 species
UGCCAGCAGCCGCGGUAACACGGGGGGCGCAAGCGUUAUUCGGAAUUAUUGGGCGUAAAGAGCUCGUAGGCGGCUAAGUAAGUCGACUGUGAAAGCUCCAGGCUCAACCUGGAGAGGCCAGUCGAUACUGCUUUGGCUAGAGUCCGGUAGGGGAGCGUGGAAUUCCUGGUGUAGCGGUGGAAUGCGCAGAUAUCAGGAGGAACACCAGCGGCGAAGGCGGCGCUCUGGGCCGGAACUGACGCUGAGGAGCGAAAGCGUGGGUAGCAAACAGGAUUAGAUA